CAUGUUUGACCCGCCUUGUUCUGUUUCCAGAACAACUCAAGAUUUCGGGCCCAAAGUUAAAACACCAUUUUGGUGUUCUUGUUUGUUCCAACUUUUUUUUGGGUUACCCAAGGCACUGUAACGGAAGGAACACAUUGGCCCAAACCAGUACAGGUAUAAAGGAAAGUUACAACAAAAUGGUAGGGUUUGUUCUGCGCUCUCGUGCGGCGAUUCCACUGUUCGUGUUUAGUUCGUCGGAUCUGUUGAGUUUUUGUUCAAAUCGGCCACCAAACUUUGCUAUUUGACUCUUCUCCUCUUUUCCCACUCUCUUUCCACAUCCUGUUUCUCUCUCUAUAGUUGCGUUCUUUUGACUACACGGCGCAGAUCCGAGGAGUUAGGAAACCCUAGCUCUUCAUCAAAACAACACAACAGGAAGCUCUUUUUCUCUAUCUACUCCGAUCAUCACCAAUCUAUCUCUCUCAUCAUUCGCAGGUCAGUUUCCCCGAAUAUGGUUAUAGAAGCGGUUUUGACAAUCUCUUGUUGAAGGAGGUGCGCUGUUGCUGGGAGCCAUCUUUUGGACCGAGCCUUUUCAAUCGUUGUUUGUGUGGAGUUCGGGGCAUAAUGAUCAUAAUGGAAAUCGCGGCAACGGACUGGCUUGGAGUGGCACGAGAAGUUUUGCUGAAGUGUUACAGCUGCAAGUCUCCGCGGGCGCUCGCCGUUUAUACCAGUAGCUUCUCUCGAGCCAUGAAAGCCCGCGGGUGCCCGCGGGCGCCCGCGGAUCUGCAGAUGACAUCUUACCUGCUCCGGAUUUCAGGCUGAUUUUGGUCUCCUAUGCAAUUUAUGUGGUUCUAAUUCAUCUAGGGUGGUUGGAGGUCGGGAUUGGGUGGAUGGAGAGUAGAUUUUGGGUGGAUAAGAAGGGGAAAAGCAUGACUUAUGAUGCAUUAAAAAUUUUAGCUAAGUUUUAGAAAGAGAAAGUAGUGUUUUUAGAGGGUUUGGAGUGGUAGCUUGCUUGAGCACGAAAAUGGAUGGUGGAUUUGCUUCUUUUUCUUCAUUCCUUGUUCAUAUGGGUAACUAAACUUUCAUUUAGGGAGGUGAUGAAGUCAUCCCUUGUAAGCAUGUUCUAGAUUAAUUUCUAUUUUGGGGAUAAUGAUGUAUAGUUUUGGUCUUUCCAUAAUUUAGAGCAUAUUACUUGUUGUAAUGGAUUCUAAUGUAUAUUAAUGAUUGUUUUAAGUUAA